rfam:Gossypium hirsutum cultivar TM-1 chromosome 1, whole genome shotgun sequence
AACCUAUGGUGAGGACACCUUCUCAAGAGGUCUUUGUAUCUCUCCCAUGCAUCAUAGAGUGUUUCUAAAUCCAUCUGCACAAAAGAAGAGAUGUCAUUCCUCAAUUU